rnacentral:rRNA from 1 species
UACAGGGGGGGCAAGCGUUGUUCGGAAUUACUGGGCGUAAAGGGCUCGUAGGCGGCCAACUAAGUCACACGUGAAAUCCCCAGGCUCAACUUGGGAACUGCAUCCGAUACUGGAUGGCUUGAAUCCGGGAGAGGGAUGCAGAAUUCCAGGUGUAGCGGUGAAAUGCGUAGAUAUCUGGAGGAAUACCGGUGGCGAAGGCGGCAUCCUGGACCGGCAUUGACGCUGAUGAGCGAAAGCUAGGGGAGCAAACGGG